GUGCCUUUUAUUUAUUGGGACAUUAGAAAGUAAUGAAAAUUUAGAUGAUAAAUAGAAAAUUUUAAAUUUCAUGUAUCUAUUUAAAAAUUUCACGCUUUAGUUCACAUGUUUAAUAGAGUUUACCCUAAAACUAAUUUUAUUUUGGGGAUUAGAUAUUCCACUUGUAGUAGAUAUUGGCAUAAGCUUGGGCGGGUGAAACUUUUCAUUUGGGGGCUAUUAAUAAGAGUUACUAUUUCCGACUUCU
rnacentral:lncRNA from 1 species